CCAGAGUGACUUACAUUGUAUCUCAUUUUAUACACCUAAGCAAUUGAGAGUAAAGGGCCUUGCUCAGGGGCCCAGCAGUGACAGAUUGGAGGACCUGGAAUUCAAAGAUUGGUGGACCCAGCAGUGACAGAUUGGUGGACCUGGGAUAUAAUAUAUGAUGCUGUAAUUGAGAGGAACCUGUAACACCAGUUUAUAUUAAUGAUUGUUACUGAUGUCUAUAUGUCUAUAUACUGUACAUCUUGGUUUUAAUGUACCAUUUAGAAAUAAUUUAUUUGUUUGCCUACUUGUGGUUUGACAAAAUAAUCUUCACGGCAUAGACACACAUACUUGCCUGCAGUUUUCUUAUUCUCAAAACAAGCUGCUAAGUGUCAGGCCAUGCAGAGUGCUGCUGAGCGGUAUGCAGCCCGGCCUGGAGUGUGUGUUGUCCAUCUAAGGGGUGUAAGAAUACAGCAGAGAGACAGUGAGGCAGGAAACAGAUGGCUGCUCAAGUGUCUGGCCUCGUGCCCCCAGCACUUGUCAGAAUUCUUGAGCAGCCUUACAGCGGGAUUGGAGGCUUGCAACAUCACUACGCUAUGGGACUAGAAGAGGAAGGAGCACGUUUCACAGCCACACCCUUUAAGUGAAAAAUCAUUUGUCUUCAUUUGCCUGCACCAGCUGGACAUUGCUACACAGGACAGCCAUACACUAAGGAUCAGAGAGACAUUAACCUCUGAGCCUUACACUCUGAUAGCCAGCUUGAGUGGGUUUUACUAUGAGGACAUUUUGCUUCAUACAUUAAUGUGUCACCAUCAGACAGGAGGGCAGCAGUUGUCACAAGGGACAGGUGUGGACUUUGUCUCUUGAGGCUUUCUGACUGAACCGCUCAGAGGCAUCCGCUCACCGCCAGCAUUCUCUGCUUCUUUGAAGCUUUGCCUUCUCUCAGAGCGGCUCUCUAUGAACACACAUUAUGUUUGUGCAGCCGCACAGUGACCUCUCCUCAUAUAUCCUCCCUAUGAUCACGGCUCCUGCAGUGUCACACCAUGUCUGUGUGGGAACACUGCAACUGUACAAGGUCAUGUACAUAUCUGUGUAUAAAAUAAGUGCAUUCUGUUGGAAUUUUAUGUCUAUGUGUGUAUUAGUAAAUGCUUCAGCAAUUACAAAUGUGUGCUUUAUAUUCACCUACAUUAAAAAACAGAAAAUCAUAAUCUUGACAAUUUCAUCAGUGAGCUUCAUUACUUCAUUACACAAGGCGGAAGUUUACCAGGGACAUCAUUCAAAAUGUUUCUAUUCAAAAUUAAUACAUACACACACUCAUAGACGCAUACACACAUAACUUAGGGGUUUUAAUGGAAACCUGUUUACCUUAAAGGCCCAAAUCAGUUUAAUAUACAGAUAAGACAUCAAAAUGACAUCUCGUUGCUCUUGAUUUGUCUAAUCCAAUUGAUCAGAAGGCAUGGGUUAAUUUUCUAUAACCUCAUGGCUUUAAUAGAUACGGCUGUGAAGUAAAUUCCUUUAGCAGUUUGGAAGGAGUCAGUGCUUUAUAGCAGACAUGUUCUUAUAAACAUUGUGAAACUGUAAUUUAAUUUGAAUAAAAUUGUUCACAAAU